AACGCACAUUGCGCCCCUUGGUAUUCCGAGGGGCAUGCCUGUUCGAGCGUCAUUAUGACCCACUCAAGCUUAGCUUGGUAUUGGGGUUCGCGUGCUUCGCGGCUCUUAAAAUUAGUGGCGGUGCCGUCUGGCUCUAAGCGUAGUAAAUCUCUCGCUAUAGGGUCUCCGGGCGGUUACUUGCUAAAAUCCCCCCACUUCUUAGGUUGACCUCGGAUCAGGUAGGGAUACCCGCUGAACUUAA
rnacentral:misc_RNA from 1 species